UUGAUAUUGACGUGACCCUUCUCUUUGUGAAGGCACAUGGCACUUUGCACUGUGUCAUGAAUCCUUUUGGUUUGGUGGGGUGGGUACCCCCUACCUCUAUUUAUGUGAUAAAAGCUAGGAUUAUACUGAAGGUCCCUUUACCUCAGUAUAAAAUUUGUUUUUGUUUUUUUCAAUUGCCUAAUCUAGGCUGCUUGGAAAAAGUUACAUUGGUGCCGGGAUUCAGCCCUUGCCUGGACAGAGGUGGCCGCUAGAGUCAUCAGCAUGGACACUGGCACCAGUGACUACAUAGGUCCCAGGAUCGUAGCCAGCCACCUCGGGUGCCUCCGGAGACCACUUGAGAAGUGCAGAGACUGUGGGCCAGCCCCUCAUUCUUGUCUGAGACAGUGAUGCCCUCCCCACUCAGUAAUUAUGCACAGCUAGCAGAGGUGGGAGCUGGGUUCUCCCACACCCUGCAGCAAAUCGGAAAUCCCAGGGUGAGGACAGGAGGAUAGAAUUGUUGUGCCAGCUCAGCACCCACUCCUCUUGUGUGCCCAGGCAGGCUGCUGAGAUCCCCCAGCAUUCUGGGCUGGGCAAGAACUCAGAUUUCCACCUGAGGUUGGAGAAGCUUCAGAGUUCAGCCCCUGACCAGCAGAGUCCUGGGAGAGAGGGCAGUGCUAGCAGAUAAAAUCUCAGCCAAUGGGGCUGUGCAGGUGGCCCCAAGGCCUCCAGCUCCACAGAUAAGAAUCAGAAGCACAGCCAUCUCAAUUAGAAAGCAAUUUGAGUUAUCACGCUAAUUAAAGGGGUGUGCAGGCACAAGACCUGACUAGAUCUAGAUCCCUAACGUUAACAAAAAUCAGAUGGUUGAGAAUAAGAAUUUCACAUAAAUAGAAAUGUGAAAGUACGAUGUGCAACUGAGAAGUUGCCAUGAUUUUUUCUUUUCAGGCUGUUGCUCUGAAAUGAAUGGCUUCAUUUAAUCACAAAAGAAGGAAUACCAGCAAGACCACCCAGGCCCCAGCUCCGGUUUUUCCUGAAGAAUUUGGCCGCAUCUCCCUUUUUGAAGGCAGAGUUUCAUCUUGAGCCUGGUGUUGGGACUCUGGCUCCUGGAUGGCGUCAAACCUGCCCUUGGGCUUGGCCGAGGCUGGUCUGGGAGUACCAUUUGCAAAUGGCUCUUGCUUCACGGUUGCAUCUCCAUCUGGGUAAACAACCUAGCGACAGCGCUGGCUCUUCUUAAGGCUGUCUGUUAUGGACUGAACUGUGUCCCUCUCAGAUUCACUUGUUAAAGUCCUGACCCCAGUACACCUCAGAAUGUGACUGUAUAUAGAAAUAGGGCAUGUAAAGCAGUCAUGACGGUUAAGUAAGGUCAUAUGGAUUGGCUCUAGUUCAAACGUGACUGGUAUCCUUCUAAGAAGAGGAAGAGACACCAGAGCUCACUCUCUUUCCACGCACACAAUGGCCAUGUGAGCACACUGUGAGAAGAUGCCAUCCGCAAGCCAAGAAGAGAGGCCUUGGGAGAAACCAAACCUGCUGUCACCUUGAUCUUGGACUUCCAGCCUCAAGAACUGUGAGAAAAUAAAUUUCUGCUGUUUAUUCCACCCAAUUUGUGGCAUUUUGUUAUGGCAGCCCAAGCCAACUAAGAUACCAUCCAUGUAAUUUCUUCUUGUAUGGCAAGGUCUUAACAUGAGACAUGAAUGAAUCAAUGGCCAUUUCUAUGCAGAAAUUUAAAAGCAUUCUUGAGUUCUCAUGGGGAGAUUUAAAUUCUCCAUAUAUGAACCCCUCUAGCCUGUACUUUCUUAUAGGAAAAUUCUCUGUGAGAUUGGAAUAUUCCAGAAGUUAACCAAAAGGAUCUUAAUUUACACUCUAUCUCCUAUUCCUCACAUUCCUAGUACUGUUAAUUACUCUCCUUCCUCAACCUCUGCUCCAUCCCUUUGGCAAGCCCAUGCAUUUAGUAGAUGUUUAUUGAGUGCUUCUCUAGGCCAGCUUAGGCUUUAGGCACUGGAGGUACGGGAAUGAAGAAAACAGAUAAGGCACGUGCUCUCACGUGGCUUCCAUCCUAGCAGAGGAAAACAGAAAUAAAAAUAAAUAAAUAAAUAAAUAAGGACUAUGUCAGAUAGUGAAAAGCUAUUCAGGAAUUUUAAAUACAGCAAUGCAAGAAUGACUGAGAGCCUGCUUUGGUUAGGCAGACAGGAACUCUGUCCUUUCCAACUAAAAACCAUUCUACUCCCUCUUCUCUUCUUUCCAUCAGCAUAACUACCCCUUGAGUGCAAGCUCCUGGGCUGGGCUCCUGCAAAAGCAUUCUAAUUGACCUCUCUGCCACCUCCUUUGCACCACUGCAGUUCAUUUUCCACAUAGCAGCUAGGGAAAUAUGUAAAAAACAAAGCUGGUUUUCAUUAUUCACAAUAGCUGUGUUCUAUAAAGUUGCUUCAAACCCUGAAUUCUGGAAUACUGAAGCAUUGCUC
rnacentral:lncRNA from 1 species